CCUGCUGCUGUUGGAUAAUGGGAAAUACUGUAUAGCUUGAAAGUAUAUUUUUCUUCAGAAAUGAUGUAAAUAGCCUUACUUUUAGACUGAUGAUCUUAGAUAAAGUGUAAGCUUUAGUUUGAGUUUUGAAAGGGAAUUUGCAUGGGAUUCUUAGGGAACACAAAAUUAUUUCUUUAUUUAAAGAUUGAAAUGACAUCACAAAUAUGUCUGAUAACUCCUUUUAUUCAGUUCUACAGUGCAACAAUGUUAAAAGAAAAGCCACAAAAUUAAGGUUUAACACAAUAACAAGAAGGGACUUCAAGAAUGAAGAUCUUACUUAAAAUAGGCCAACUGGAAGACUUCAUACCGACCAAAUAAGACCACACACAGACAGAUACUAUGCAUGUAUACACUUUGUACCACAUUUUAUCAGACAGAUCAUCAUCAUCAUCGUCUUAUAAAACAAAGCAUACUUUUAUGUUACCCAGAUAAGUUGCCAUAUCACUUACAGUACAGUAUGUCUCAUUUAAGAAGGACUUAAUUCAUUCUCUCAGAUUUCCAGCAACCAGCAACUUCAAUCACAAUCCGUACAUUAUUCCAAUAGCCUGAAACUAUAGGAGCUUACUAUUAAAUUGACACUACAUCAGCUGCUUCCUUAAGGACAGAGAAACUACAUUCAGACAAACUUGUACUCAGGUCUGCCCUUUAUAGUUUGAGAUUUUAAAUGGGUCACCGAGAUUUUUUAUUUGAUCCUGCAAGUGAAAACAAUAUUAACAUUUUUUAAUGAGCAGUGGCCCUAUAGCACAAUACUAAAUUUAUUCAUUGUGGAUUCCAGGCUAAAAAAAAGCUGUGUCCUUAAAAUAACAGUACUAUGCUUGCCAAUGGUCAGUUGGUUACGCAAGCCAUGCUGGUGUUAUAUAAACCCAUACAGCACUGGUUACACCACAAGCUCAGCAGAGGUCAACCUCAGAAUUAUAAGGAUUAGACAAGAUCAUAGCUUGAUCUCUUGGUGGAUUCAGAAACCAGAGAGAGAUCCACAGUUAGGGUUAGGGUUAAGUUAGUUUUGCGUCCUACAAUAACCUGUUACAUCCUCAUGAUGCUCGAUCAAAGCACUGAACUCCAACCUGUAUUGUCUAUACUAGUCUUUUCUAUUCUAUUAUUUUUAUUCUUACAUUUAAAGCACCCAGUAUAUUUGCUUGACUAACUCUGAAUCCCCUAUGCCUGUCCCCUUAGUUACUGUGGCUACACCUGCAAAGCUCCAUUCAUGGCACACAUGCAGUUUUACAAUGAAGACUUACUCAAAAUUAUUCUCAGUUCAAUUCUCAGUUCUAAUUAAGCUAACAUUAGCUCCAUCAGUUGGUGGAAAAUGCAAUUUCCACCAACUCUCUGGCAUUUUAAUGAAUUGAGAUGACUCGUUUCAAAACAUGAAGCUUAAAGCUUAAAAAUGCACUUAGAGGUUACAUACAUAUAUUGAGACUAAAGACUGAGGCUAAGCUGAUUAUGUUGCAAGCAAAAAGUCUGCAUCCUCACCAGUUGAUGAUCCAGUGAAAAGACAUGGAAAUAAAGACACAGCAUUGUUCAUAUGAAAUGAAGAAAUAGUUAGUAUUAUAAGGAAAAAUUCAGAUUAAAGUCAUUCGGCUUAACUCAUUCUGUGUUACUAACUAAUCUAGGUGUUAGUAAUGAUAUCCCUGAUAAGGAGCCUGGGGUUGAUAGAGUGUAAACUUUCCCAUAUAAAGAACAGGACAGAGAUGCUAACAUUUACUCUGAUAUAGCAUCCGGAAUCGACUUUCACACAGUGGGAAAAUAGUACACAGUGGAUUUAAUGUGGUAUGCAAUGCUCCUUGGCCUUGGAGGUAACGCUUAGGUAAUAUACUAAAGCUUGCAGCUUGUGUUAAAGCAGACAAACAUACUGUUUAAUCCAUUCCUUACACUGUCUAAACUUUAUAUAUCAAGUAUUUCUCUUACUAUAGCACCAUGUACACUGUUUCGGGAUGUUGAGAAACCAAAAGCUUGACAGGCCUGCUGUGCCUAGUUAUGGUUGCUAAGCUAUGAUUGGACAAUUGCUGUGCGGGGGAGGGGGUAAUGAGUGGUCAGUUAUGACAAUGUCAUGCCAUGACUAAAGCUUCUUUUUUAAAUUGUUUCCAUUACUUCUUUAUAGUGUCCACACACAUCCACACUGAGAGCUAAUUUAAAAUCUCCAGUUCAUUGACAUGAAUGUCUUUCUCUCUUCUUCUUUGAAGAAACUGUAGCACCCUUUAAAAAGCCCAGAGGAAACAAAUUCCAUGUAGGAAGAAGCAGGGCUCAGCUGUGAUUGAGCAGUGAUUUGUUGAAAUUUAACAAGCAAGGAAGGUCACGCAGGGGCAUUCUGUCAGGGUUACUUUUUCCCCAUUAUAAGGAUAAAUACAUCAUUAAAAAGUGUAGUGACACUCUCUUUCAGCUCCCUCCAAAUCACUCUUAGAUUGUUCGUAAGGAAAUGAAGGAAUGAAGUGGCAAGGGUGGGAGAAGAAAAGGCAGAGAGAGAGGAGGUGGAGAUACAGAACGUGAAGGAAAAGGGUAGAUCAUUUCAGGGGAAGUCAAAAAGCAAAUUGAAGGAAAAAAAGAAUAAAACGAUAGCAUUGUUCAUCAGCCUGUUGCAGACUUUGUCUUCCUGCAGUUUGCUGUGACAAAAAACAAUGCUGAUGGAAGCAGUGAGACUGAAUCAAAACUGUAAAGUUGUGGACCAGUAUACCAGAACAAGGAUCCGAAAGAUGCUAUAAAUCUCCAUGGAGCUGAGGGGAACUGCGGGGUAAUAAUUCUGUGACAUUCUAGUAUUCCAAAACCCAAAUAGUCUAAAAAAAUUUACCAUCGGACCCAAAGCCCAUUCAUCUGACAAUCAAUGCUCAUUCAAAGGCCUGUUGUUCCGAAAAUUCACACCCUGGUAUCACCAACUUACAUACGUAACUUAACUGACUAAACUAACAUAGUUAUUUAACCCCAAAUCAUUAUUAUCAUGUUUUUGGAAAAAACUGGCCUUCAAAGCCAACAGCAGCUUUUAUAUGAAAUUAAAUAUGUGAGGCCAUCAAGUACUAUGUGAAACAGAAAUCCUUUGAAAUCAACACAGUCAGUAGUGGUAGUUCUAUACGUACCCGUGCCACCAUGCCGCCUCAGAUGACUUAUAAACAUAUUUAUCUGCAUCAUGUAGUUUUAACCCAGUCAGAAUAGAUCAUUCAGCCAGUGUCUUCCACUGUAUGUGUUUAUCUCUAUCUCCCAGUUGAGAUCCAGGCUGUGUGAACUGUCUCAUCAUCCUGUCAGUCCCCGGCAGAGUAAUGAGAUGUAAUGCGCCUCUCGAGCUUACUAUCCGGUUUUUCCUUUUUUCCCUCCCUCGCUUGAUAUCCCAGAGGGAAGUGUGCCCCAGCGGUUACUGGAGCAGUCAGAGCGGAUUGAAUCUCUGUGGUUCACUUUAUUAGAAGAUGAUUUUACAGACAGAAUAGAGCUAACUUCAGCCAUAGAGAAAUAAUGUGUAACAUUAGUCAUCUGAGAUAAAAAGUGGCAAUGAGUGACACAUAAAGUGAAAAAGGAAGAUGAGAGGAACGAUAAUUAGUCAGGAAAUGCUCAUUUUCAUUUGACAAGGAAAGAGACUAUGUAUAUGAGUCGGAAAUGAGUGGAAAGGAUAGACGGUGGGUAAGAGGGGACAAAGGCAGAAUGGAGAGGAAAGAGGUGGUGGAGGAUGUUUGACAGAUAAAAGAGCAUUAAUAGUAGAGAAUGAGAAUGAAUUAGUAAAGUAGAGAAAGGACACAUGAGUGUAUGACAAGAGAAAAAUCAACGACACAGGAGAAGUUAAGUGUACAGGUUUAAAAGAAAGGAAAGACAGAUUCUGAGCAUUAUUAAUGCCAGCAAAUACUUUCAUGUUAUUUGAUUCAUAUGGCUGAUUUUUAUGUCAGAAAGCAAAAGAAAUCCAUCUUUUAAGCAUACAGGAAAAAACCUUUUAAACUACCAAGUUUAACUAUGUAGUUAAAACUAGAAGUCAUCAGUCCUCACCAAUACCAGCAACCAUACAGGACAUAUUCACAAUAAUUACAAUAGACUGUGUGUUUGUGGUCUUUGUUUGGUUGGUCGAGGUGUCCACUGUUCACCACCUGCACUUUACCUCAUCCAGCUCCUUCACUAUCCAAUCAGCAGCCAGUUUCUGUAGAGGCAUGGACCUACAUUAUCAACCAAUUAGACAUCAUCAGUGUGUAUCUACCCGGUGAUCCCAAGCUCUUGGAACUGACUCAGUGGACUACACAAAGAAGAAAGCAUGUAAACAUAUGUUACUAUGGACAAGACAAUCUAUAACACCCUCCACCCUGACAGUUAUUCCCUCCAUCUUACUGCUGACAAGACCUGUCUGCACAGUCACAUGGAAGUGAAGGACAACAUCUGUGCUGCAGUCCAACUCCAGAUGCCUGUUGCCAACCCAGUAACCCCAGCGAAUACACAAACCAGACAGGAGAGAUCCACACAGUCAAUCUUUAAGGAAGAAGGACUGCAAACAACAGCUUGGAAAGGAGACUCAUCUGUUUUCCCCAAAACAAACUACAAAAAAAACUACAUUGAAAAUCUUUCCUGGAUUAUAAGAAAAAAGGUACAUGAAGAUACAGAUGUUUCAGGAUGAUGUUCUUCACCAUCAUACAGUAUGGAUUUGCAAGGAGAAUGUGUAAAAACUGCGGCGGGGUGACAUGAGGAUCUUUUCCGGAUGAGAAGACUGAUACAAAAGGAAAAGUAACAACAGCCUAUGAUGGACAAAUGUCUCCUAAAGGUCGUAUUUGGUUGCAGGCCCACAUCAUACUCUCAUCGACAACCCCAAUGAUAAAGAAAUGUUUGAAGAUCCCUUCCUUCCCCAAAUAUCCAAUACCAAGGGGGUACUGAGUUAUUAGGAUAUUUGGGAAAUGUAGUUGCACAGUUCAAAGUGCUUCACCAUUCAAAUGACACAAAUCCACAUAAAGACUUUGCUGUUUGGAGAAGACAAUAAAAUAAGCUCGACUGGCUGUAACUACAGAUUUCUUGUGAGGACAAUUUGAGACUGGCAGGUCAGAGUUGUACAGAUAAAACAUCCAAACUCUGAUGCAACUUGAAUUCAAAAUGUGUUUCCUAUUUGAACAAAAAUGAACACACUGGUGUUUAAUCUUACAGAUGGUUUGAACGGACUACUGUACGAAUAUGAAACAGUAUGACUGUAAACUUGUGCAGCAUUGUAUGAAUGAUGGUUUUCUGGAGGAGGAGCAAUGUUGAUAUGCUACCACUGCAUGGCGACUAGCGGAUUUCUUUCCUUCAACUGUCCUCCUUGAUGGAGUAAACAAUUUGCCUCCUGUCAGUCAUUUGCACUUAAAAACAAAGCAAAACAAACUGCACUCUUAGAUAUAUUAGUUAAUAUAUGUGUCAGGUUUUGGCUUUAGGUUUCAAUCUAUAUUUAUAUAAUAUGUUUUUAAUCUAUAUCUUAGUUUGAAGUUUUAUUUGAGGACUUCCUCUCUUUGUACAUUUUCAUUCAUGCCAUAAAUCAUAUUUACUCGACUUCAAAGGACAUUUUGUAAAGUUGGACCUUUCUACUGUAUGACAUUGACUUUUCUGUAAUAUAACUUCAUUAAAUUAAUAGGAAUAUGCGA